rnacentral:rRNA from 1 species
UACGUAGGGGGCUAGCGUUGUCCGGAAUCAUUGGGCGUAAAGCGCGUGUAGGCGGUCCGGUAAGUCCGCUGUGAAAGUCAACGGCUCAACUGUUGGAUGCCGGUGGAUACUGUCGGGCUAGAGUACGGAAGAGGCAAGUGGAAUUCCUGGUGUAGCGGUGAAAUGCGCAGAUAUCAGGAAGAACACCAAUGGCGAAGGCAGCUCUCUGGGACGGUACUGACGCUGAGACGCGAAAGCGUGGGGAGCGAACAGG